rnacentral:misc_RNA from 1 species
GAUGAAGAACGUAGCGAAAUGCGAUAAGUAAUGUGAAUUGCAGAAUUCAGUGAAUCAUCGAAUCUUUGAACGCACAUUGCGCCCGCCAGCAUUCUGGCGGGCAUGCCUGUUCGAGCGUCAUUUCAACCCUCGAGCCCCCCCGGGGGCCUCGGUGUUGGGGGACGGCACACCAGCCGCCCCCGAAAUGCAGUGGCGACCCCGCCGCAGCCUCCCCUGCGUAGUAGCACACACCUCGCACCGGAGCGCGGAGGCGGUCACGCCGUAAAACGCCCAACUUUCUUAUAGUUGACCUCGGAUCAGGUAGGAAUACCCGCUGAACUUAAGCAUAUCAAUAAGCGGAGGA